rnacentral:rRNA from 1 species
CCUACGGGAGGCAGCAGUGGGGAAUAUUGCACAAUGGGGGAAACCCUGAUGCAGCGACGCCGCGUGAGUGAAGAAGUCUUUCGGUAUGUAAAGCCCUAUUAGCAGGGAAGAAAAUGACGGUACCUGAAUCAGAAGCCCCGGCUAAAUACGUGCCAGCAGCCGCGGUUAUCCGUAGGGGGCAAGCGUUAUCCGGAUUUACUGGGUUUAAAGGGAGCGUAGACGGCAGUACAAGUCUGGAGUGAAAUGCCGGGGCUUAACCCCGGAACGGCCUUUGAAACUGUGGAGCUAGAGUGCAGGAGAGGUAAGUGGAAUGCCUGGUGUAGCGGUGAAAUGCGUAGAUAUUAGGAAGAACACCAGUUGCGAAGGCGGCUUACUGGACUGUAACUGACGUUGAGGCUCGAAAGCGUGGGGAGCGAACAGGAUUAGAUACCCGAGUAGUC